GGCGGCGUAGCCAAGUGGUAAGGCAUCGGAUUGCAAAUCCGUGAUCCCCAGUUCGAAUCUGGGUGCCGCCU
rnacentral:tRNA from 1 species